GGGAUGAACGCUAGCGACAGGCCUAACACAUGCAAGUCGAGGGGCAGCACAAGGAGCAAUCUGAGGUGGCGACCGGCGCACGGGUGAGUAACACGUAUGCAACCUGCCUGUAAGCGGGGAAUAACCCGUUGAAAGACGGACUAAUACCGCAUAAUACUAAAUUACUGCAUGGUAAUUUAUUUAAACAUUUAUGGCUUACAGAUGGGCAUGCGCAUGAUUAGCUAGUUGGAGAGGUAACGGCUCCCCAAGGCAACGAUCAUUAGGGGUUCUGAGAGGAAGGUCCCCCACACUGGUACUGAGACACGGACCAGACUCCUACGGGAGGCAGCAGUGAGGAAUAUUGGUCAAUGGACGAGAGUCUGAACCAGCCAAGUCGCGUGCAGGAAGAAUGUCCCUAUGGAUUGUAAACUGCUUUUGCAGGGGAAUAAAGUGCAUCACGUGUGAUGUUUUGUAUGUACUCUGCGAAUAAGGAUCGGCUAACUCCGUGCCAGCCGCGGC
rnacentral:rRNA from 1 species